rnacentral:rRNA from 1 species
GAUGAACGCUGGCGGCGUGCCUAAUACAUGCAAGUCGAGCGAACGGACGAGAAGCUUGCUUCUCUGAUGUUAGCGGCGGACGGGUGAGUAACACGUGGAUAACCUACCUAUAAGACUGGGAUAACUUCGGGAAACCGGUGCUAAUACCGGAUGAUAUUUUGAAUCGCAUGGUUCAAAAGUGAAAGACGGUCUUGCUGUCACUUAUAGAUGGAUCCGCGCUGCAUUAGCUAGUUGGUAAGGUAACGGCUUACCAAGGCAACGAUGCAUAGCCGACCUGAGAGGGUGAUCGGCCACACUGGAACUGAGACGAGGUCCAGACUCCUACGGGAGGCAGCAGUAGGGAAUCUUCCGCAAUGGGCGAAAGCCUGACGGAGCAACGCCGCGUGAGUGAUGAAGGUCUUCGGAUCGUAAAACUCUGUUAUUAGGGAAGAACAUAUGUGUAAGUAACUGUGCACAUCUUGACGGUACCUAAUCAGAAAGCCACGGCUAACUACGUG